AGUUGCUGGUAAGAACAAAGACGCUACAAAUUUGGGAACAAACUAAAUCCAUGUAAAUUUUCCAACCAAAACAAUCAAAAGCCGCCGCCAUGGCACUAGCCAGCCGUGCAAAUGUUACAUGGUAGAAUUAUGAUUGGGAUGUCUGUAGCAGCCAACGCUGGGGAACCCAUUAUCAAGGUAUUAUAUAAAACUGAAACCAGAAUCAAGUGCUAACAAAGCUAGGUUCAGAAGCAGAGCCUGGAGGCAACUGGUGUAGAACGCUGGUUGGAGAUGAAUUAGAGGUGGAGGACCUUAGUGCCUCCGCAAGAGGUCCUCCCAUGGAAGCCACCUGGCUUGUCCCCCAUCCACCGGUCCAACUCACUUGGGGGUGCUCUCUUUCAUUGCCUCUUGGGCCUGCUGGUUCCUCUCCAUUGCCAGUGGACAAUUUCAACGACACGUCUGAAGGAGAGUUUUCAGGCAUUGAGAUUGAGAGGCAGGUUGCCGAGUUCAUUGGACUCGCAUUGCUUCCUGCACUGUCCGGUUCUUGAUGCGACCUUGGCCAGUCAUCAAAAAAAUGCCUCAGAAUGUGACCAUUAUUUCUGUUAGCAACCUCUUUUUCGGGCCCAAGCAGGCCCUUGAUUUCAGUUUUGGAAUCCGAGGAACCGUUA
rnacentral:misc_RNA from 1 species